rnacentral:rRNA from 1 species
UCUGCCCGCUGGCGGCGUGCCUAAUACAUGCAAGUCGAGCGAACAGACGAGGAGCUUGCUCCUCUGACGUUAGCGGCGGACGGGUGAGUAACACGUGGAUAACCUACCUAUAAGACUGGGAUAAAUUCGGGAAACCGGAGCUAAUACCGGAUAAUAUAUUGAACCGCAUGGUUCAAUAGUGAAAGACGGUUUUGCUGUCACUUAUAGAUGGAUCCGCGCCGCAUUAGCUAGUUGGUAAGGUAACGGCUUACCAAGGCGACGAUGCGUAGCCGACCUGAGAGGGUGAUCGGCCACACUGGAACUGAGACACGGUCCAGACUCCUACGGGAGGCAGCAGUAGGGAAUCUUCCGCAAUGGGCGAAAGCCUGACGGAGCAACGCCGCGUGAGUGAUGAAGGUCUUCGGAUCGUAAAACUCUGUUAUUAGGGAAGAACAAAUGUGUAAGUAACUAUGCACGUCUUGACGGUACCUAAUCAGAAAGCCACGGCUAACUACGUG